GAAACUUCUCUGAUAAAAAAAGUUAAGAGGGUUUUUUUGUUGUUGUUGUUGGUUUUUCUUUCUUUCUUUCUUUUUUUGCAGAGAGGCAGCUUGGGCAAAACAGGAAGUACAGAAUGUGUGUGUUGAAAUGUUGAAGCAAAAGUUGGAAAGUGGAAGAAGGGGGAUUGGGUUGGCAGUAAAAGCAACAUCACCAAAGAGCUUGAAAGUGUUGACUUCAUCAGAUGUCACUGGAGGACUUGAUAAGAUUUGUUUCUCAGAGUGUUCUUCCCAGUGACAGUCUGGAGGACGUGCUGGAAGACAGCAAACACAACAUAGGGAGACCAGUUAUAAAGUUAAAAGACUAUUUUGAUGUCCGUUCUUUAGAUGAUAAGGACUUGAAGAUGGAAAGGAAAACUUGGAUUAGACAGUCAUUUAGGAAGUUUUUCUUUCUAAGGAAUAAGGGGAUUAGCUUUGUCAGUAGUCUUCUCUGAAGAGCCCUCCAGGCUUCAUGGAGAGGCCAAGAGGAGCAGACAAGACUUACCCAGUUCCUUUGGAACUCUGAAUCAUGUAAGUUGUGGGUCCCCUGUGUAUAUGCCCUUGAUUUUUGGUGUCAUAGUUAUCUUUUUUCCAGUCUAUAGAAGUGUUCCCAUUUGUGAGAUCAUUAAUUUAGGGUUUAGGUUUUCUACAAGACUUCUACACUCAGCACUGAUAAAAUGUCCAGGACAAGAAGGCUCCCUACCAAAACUUUACUCCCAUACUACUCUCAGGAAUCUUAUGAUCAGAGAGCACACACAUGGAAAAUAUUGAGAAGAAAGCAUGUUAGCUGAAUAAAUGUGAGGGUAUCUGACUAUUGUAUCUCAAGAAUAUACCUCAUCUUAAGAAACUUGAUUUCUGAAAGGUCAGCAAUAAGACUAUUUUUACUAAACCAAGUCAGACAUAAGAUAGUUUUAAAAGAAUAUAUUUAAUUGAGCUCAUGGAGCAUGAGCUGGGAUUAGUUAGCUUUUGUAAUCACAGAGAUUGUUUUUGUCUCAAAAUACUUCCUCUCAGUAGCCUGUAAUCUCAGUAAUUCUUUUGAAAGAAGUUUACCUGUUUUCAUCAGAGACCAUCAUGUAUUAUUAUGUACUUAAGGUUUUUUUCAGUGAAUUGUACUAAUUGGAUUGUCAUUAUACUAUUAUUGUCUCCUCCUGAUUGUCCCACUGUGGAUUUCUAUCAGGAGGACAGGCAGGCACAGUACAAGUGCUGUAGGUGCCUAGGAG
ensembl:lncRNA